rnacentral:rRNA from 1 species
UACAGAGGUCUCGAGCGUUAGGCGGAAUCACUGGGCUUAAAGCGUGUGUAGGCGGAUCGUUAAGUACCUUGUGAAAUCCCACGGCUUAACCGUGGAACUGCUUGGGUAUACUGGCGGUCUUGAGCCAGCUAGGGGCUACCGGAACAAAUGGUGGAGCGGUGAAAUGCGUAGAUAUCAUUUGGAACGCCAAUGGUGAAAACAGGUAGCUGGGGCUGUGCUGACGCUGAGACACGAAAGCCAGGGGAGCAAACGGG